UUACGGUCAAAUCACGCUGAAAACACCGGUUCUCGUUCGAUCACCGAAGUUAAGCAUCGUAGAGCCAGGUCUUCCGUUUUAGUACUUAGAUGGGGGACCUUCGCUUGGGAACACCUGGUACUGUAAGC